rnacentral:tRNA from 1 species
GGGCGCGUAGCUCAGCGGGAGAGCACUACGUUGACAUCGUAGGGGUCGCUGGUUCAANCCCAGCCGCGCCCACCA